rnacentral:tRNA from 1 species
UCCUCAGUAGCUCAGUGGUAGAGCAGUCGACUGUUAAUGGAUUGGUCGUAGGUUCGAAUCCUACUUGGAGAG